rnacentral:rRNA from 1 species
UACGUAGGGCGCAAGCGUUGUCCGGAAUUAUUGGGCGUAAAGAGCUCGUAGGUGGCUUGUCGCGUCUGCCGUGAAAGCCCAUGGCUUAACUGUGGGCGUGCGGGCGAUACGGGCAGACUGGAGUACUGCAGGGGAGACUGGAAUUCCUGGUGUAGCGGUGAAAUGCGCAGAUAUCAGGAGGAACACCGGUGGCGAAGGCGGGUCUCUGGGCAGUAACUGACGCUGAGGAGCGAAAGCGUGGGGAGCAAACAGG